GAUUGCCAUAUAAAAAGUUUGUCACAUGAUGCGAUAUUUUUCUAAAAUGGUGACAGCUGAGCUAAUCCAUGGAGAUUCCAAUGAACUUGAGACCAAAACUUGUCUUCAUACAUGCUGAAAAAAUAGAACUUUACCUACCACUCUAAUCAAUUUGAGUAUUCUUUUUCCCUUCCCAUACGCAUGCAUAUAGACUGGUCCAUAAUGCAAAUUUCGAUUCAGAGCAAGAACAAUCAGAUUAGUGAUUUUUGAGUACCCAAAAGAAACUCUGUUUUCAAUUCUCAUGGCGGAUUCUAUUCCCUCUAAAAUGAAGGCUUGGGUUUAUAGUGAAUAUGGGAAACCUGAAUAUGUCUUAAGAUUUGACUCAGAAGUUGUGGUCCCUGAAGUGAAAGAAGAUCAGGUCCUGAUCAAGGUUGUGGCUGCUGCACUUAAUCCAGUUGAUGCUAAGAGAAUGGCUGGGUUCAUCAAAGCCGCUGACUCACCUCAACCUACUGUUCCAGGGUAUGAUGUUGCUGGUGUUGUGGUGAAAGUGGGAAACCAGGUCAACAAGUUUAAGAUAGGAGAUGAAGUGUAUGGUAACGUCAACGAGCUCCCUCUGAACCCGAAACAAUUUGGAACAUUAGCUGAAUACACUGCUGUUGAAGAGAAGCUACUGUCUCUUAAGCCCAAGAAACUCAAUUUUGCAGAAGCAUCUGGCAUACCCUUAGCCAUUGAGACUGCUUAUGAAGGCCUUGAAAAAGCAGGGUUCUCAGCUGGUAAAUCUAUUCUUGUCUUGGGAGGUGCUGGUGGAGUUGGAACCCUAACAAUUCAGGUAGCAAAGCAUGUGUUUGGUGCAUCUAGAAUAGCUGCAACUGCUAGCACUGGAAAAUUAGAGUUGUUGAAAAGCUUGGGAGUGGACUUAGCAAUAGAUUACACCAAGGAAAAAUAUGAACACCUCCCAGAGAAGUUUGAUGUAGUGUAUGAUGCUGUUGGUAUGAUUCUAAAUUCCUUGCUCCUUUUCAAAAGGGUUUAUGACAAAAUAAUCUAAAGCUAAGGUUUAGGCCUUGUUUGGUUCAAAUUCUCUACUUGAAGGAAAUUACUUCAUCUGUAAAAAAUUGAGAUAAAAUGUCAACUAAAUAACAAUAUCUCCAACUAAUUUACCUCCAAUCAAACAAAACCUUAGUCUAAGGAACACUUAAAAUUUUGUUAAUUUUAUAUAUGUUUUAAGAAUAGGCCAAUUAUUGCUUAAACUUGAAAGGAUAUGUAUUAAAACAUUCACGAAUAUGAAUUUGGUUUAUAAAUAUAAUAUAUAUAGGAAAUUUAUAAGCGAAAUUUACAUAUUUAUAUAAAUAUUUUAAAUUUAUUGUGAAUGAAUCAAGCAGAUAUUGACAAGUUUUUCUCAUAUUAUGUCUGUUGAAUGAUUAGUCAUUGAAAUUAAUUGAAGGACUAAUGCUAGUGCAAAAAAUGGAAAACAGGGGAGUGUGACAGGGCAGUGAAGGCAGUGAAAGAUGGUGGGAGUGUAGUGGAAAUAGUAGGCUUAACAAAUCCUCCUCCUCCAGCAUUUUUAUUUUUGGAAACUUCAGAUGGGGCAGUGUUGGACAAAAUCAAUCCAUACUUGGAGUCUGGAAAGGUGAAGCCAGUUCUUGAUCCUAAAGGCCCAUUCCCAUUUUCACAAGCUAAGGAAGCAUUUUCCUACCUUGAAACUACAAGAGCUAUUGGAAAGGUGGUUGUGUAUCCCAUCCCAUGAGUAGGACAGAAAAAAAUAAAUUGCUCAUAAGUUACAAAUAUAAUAAUGUCUAUAUUCAGAGACAUCCCAUAAAAUGUAAUAAAUCAAAGAAUAAAUUGAAAAUUUCUAUUAUACUUAAUUGAAUGCAAU
rnacentral:misc_RNA from 1 species